AUUUCAUGUAUCAGAGGCACAUGGUGAGAACAAUGGAUGAAGCACAUGGUGAGAACAAUGGAUGGCUGCCAUUUUAACUCACAGACACUGUUUUGACUUUUCUACACAGUGCCAUCUUGCCGAUAUUUGGUGCACAAAGACAUCGUUCAGUAGUUUUAAACUACAGAACAGGGGACACUUUAUACAGUAAUUAUUUUUCAUAUAGCCUGUAUAUGUUCUGCGGAAUCUGCAUUAAACUGUAUCUUUCAAACUACUGAACGGAUCUGGGUGAAUUUUGGAUAUGUGGUUCACCCAGAUCCCCCGAUUCAGGGCAUAGAUUUUUAUGGGGUUAUUGCAUGUUUUGGGGUACCUGUGCAAUGUUUUAUAAUACUGUAUUUUCCUGCAUGUGAUAAUUAAGUUAGUCUAUUGUGUUGAAAUAAUUGUAUCACAGGCAGAGGGGAGGAUUUCUGAUGUAAUCAAUGGGAGUGUUAGCUGUGUU
rnacentral:lncRNA from 1 species